rnacentral:rRNA from 1 species
GAUGAACGCUAGCUACAGGCUUAACACAUGCAAGUCGAGGGACCGGCGCACGGGUGAGUAACACGUAUCCAACCUGCCCUUUACUCGGGGCUAGCCUUUCGAAAGAAAGAUUAAUACCCGAUGUAAAGGAUGGGGAUGCGUUCCAUUAGGUUGUUGGUGAGGGAACGGCUAACCAAGCCUUCGAUGGAUAGGGGUUCGGAGAGGAAGGGCCCCCACAUUGAAACGGGGACACGGUCCAAAAUCCUACGGGAGGCAGCGGUGAGAAAUAUUGGUCAAUGAGCGUUAGCGUGAACCAGCCAAGUAGCGUGAAGGAUGAAGGCUUAUGGGUCGGAAACGUCUUUUAUAUAAGAAUAUGUAUUAUAUGAAUAAGGAUCGGCUAACUCCGUGACAGCAGCCGCGGUAAUUC